rnacentral:lncRNA from 1 species
UGUUGGUUUCUAUUUCCCUCACUGAGCAGCAACUGCAGUCACAAGACAUUGUUUUGCAUUCCACAGUCAGAGUUACUGUUGGAGUUUCUCACGGGAAAGGGAGACUGGAUGUGACGUACACUGGUUUCCUGUUUUUCACUGUGUGAUUCUCUCCGAGCUGAGAGAGGAGAGAGGAUGCAUUUUUCUGCUCCUGCAGAGGCAAGAUGUCUUUCUGUAAUAUACCAGCUUUGAACUGUAAAUAAAGCAAUAUAGAGUAUGUAACACAUUUUCCUCAUCCUUCCGCUGGGCACGACAGACUCUGCUUUAAAUCAACACGUGGUUAUGGACUCCAGAGGUCGAAUCGGAGUGCCGGCAGAGGAUCGGAAUGCAGAGGGACGGAUCGGAAAGGAAUCUGCUCUGCGCGUAGAAGUGAUUGAUGAGGUAUGUGCUACUGCUCCGGGCAGCCUGCCAGCUUCAAGAUAAUGGCUUUAUGGCUGGACUUUGAACUUUUAAAGCCGGUUUUGCAAAUAGGCAAAGGCUCCCAGGCACAAGUCACUAUGCUGGGGAAAUCGAAGUAACUUUUAAGUGUGCCUUUGUAAUGAAGCAGCUGCAGCAGUGACGCAGCAAGAUUUAAAGCAGCAUAUGACGCUGAAGGCUAAUGCCAGAGUCAUGAUGGCCCUUCAGGAUGCUUGUGGGAUUCCUAAGCUCAACAAGAAAAAUUACAGCGACUGGGUUCAGUAUGCAGAGGCAAUUCUGCGGAAAGAGGGUUUGUUUGAGGUGAUUACAGAAACCCCCAGUUCCAGUUACAGAUGCAUGGGAAGCUAAGGAUUCCAAAGCAAGGGGAACUCUUACAUUGAUAGUAUCCCCAGAAGAGCUCUGUCUAUUGCGUGAUAAGACCUCAGCCAGAGAAAUUUGGGACGCUCUGAGAGAGGCUCACUUAAGGACAGAAGCUGGAUCCACUAUGUUUUAUUUUAACAAGCUGCAUAAUAUGGCUCUUGCUGAAGGUGGAGAUGUGCGUUUACAUCUAAUGGAGAUGCAAAAUCUGAGACAUGAGCUGCAACAGAGAGGACUCAACUUUCCAGAGGCUGUGUAUUCUUUCAUGAUACUACAAUCUUUGGGUUCAGGUUGGGAGUCUGUUGCAACCCAGAUUGCUGUGCAACCAACUGCUCAGCUGACAGUGGACUUUGUUACUGCCGUGAUUUUAAAUGAAGCAGAUCGCCGGGGUGCUAGCUGCAUGGGCAAGGGGGAGUCUUCACAGACGUCAUCCCAUAGUGCAGUGGAACCACCAGAUGGCGCCAAAGCUUUGAAGGCAGUGAAAUGCUACUCGUGUGGACGUCUAGGCCAUAUGAAGAGGGAAUGCAGACAUCCCAGGGCCAAGACAGAGCAGCGCAGCGAAAGCUCAUCGCGCGGAAAAGGCCGAGGCAAAGGCAAAGGUCCGGUGUCUAGGACAACGCAGCACAAGGCUAUGGUUUCACGCUUCACUCCAAAGGUUGCAGAGGUCCAGAAGACGUCUAGAUCUUUCUUCGUUGUUGAUUCAGCGGCCACCCACCACAUGUGCAACGAUAAGAAACUGUUUGUGUCUUUUACACCGCAGGAAGGUGCGAUUCACCAGGCGGAUGACCACACUAUUCCCAGUAAAGGCUACGGAACUGUUGUUCUUCACAGUUUGGACUUAUCGAUACAGAAUGUGCUUUACGUGCCAGACGCCAAACAUAAUCUGCUCAGCGUUGGACAGCUGAAUGAGCGGAACAUUGACGUUUCCUUCAAGAACAAGAAGUGCAUCAUCACAAAGAAAAAUGAUUAUGUAUUGCAUGCAGAAUAUGUUGAUCAUUUGUUUGUUUUGUAUUAUGAUGAUGUGGUGCAGGAUGACACUUGUUGCAUUGCAGGUUCUAACAAAAGUUUGCAUGCAGAAUGUAUUCACGAUUUUCAUCGCAAAUUUGGUCAUUUGCAUUUUGAGGCAGUAUCUAAAAUGCCUGCCUUGGUUGAAGGUAUGACUAUUAAACCCUGCAGGUACCACAUGAAGUGCAAAGCAUGCGCAGCAAACAAGGUGAAAAUGGCUGCGAAAGGUAAGGUGUCUAGUAGGAAAGCUACAGAACCAUACCAGGUUGUUCAUGCUGAUUUGGUUGGACCACUAGCGCCCUCUUUGGGUGGAAAUAGAUACUUCAUGGUUCUCAUUGAUGCAUUUUCUAGAUAUAUUUUUGUGUACAAUCUCAAGCAGAAAUCGGAGGCUUUUCCUAGGUUCAAGGAAUUCUGUGCUUGGUUGGAAAAUGUGCAUGGUAAGAAGAUAAAGACUCUUUUCAGUGAUCGCGGGGGGGAAUUCACUUCUCAGCAGUUUGAAGCUUUUCUGACUGAGAAAGGAAUUCAACACGAUUUGUCUAGUCCUCGCUCGCCAUGGCAGAAUGGACUUGCGGAACGGGCAAAUCAGACAUUGCUUCAAGGCUUAAAACCUUGCUGCAUGAUGCCAAUCUUCCAGAGAGUUAUUGGGCCGAAUCUCUCUCGUGUUUUGUUUACAGUUACAAUCGCAGGUUAUCUUCAGCGAUUGGUUGUACCUCUAUGAGAAGAUGUUUGGCAAGAAGCCAUACAUCAAACACAUGAAGAUUUUUGGUUCUGACAUGUGGGUUCGCUCACCACAAAACUCCAAGUUAGACAAGCGUGGAUUGCAUGGUAUCUUUCUAGGUUAUCAGAAAGGGUCUUACAGAAUAAUGAUGACUGACUCUAAGACAAUUAAGCUCACGAGAAGUGUUGAGUACAAUGCAAAGUGGCGGGAGAAUGUGGGAAUUUUCCAAUGUUAUCCUGAUGACGGUGAUGAGACUGAGGAUAGUCAAAAGCAACCACAACAACCCACACCCACUGAUGAAGGUUCUGAGUCUGAAUCUGAAACUGAAUCGGGUGAUUCAGAGGAUUUCAAGAGUGCGAAAGCCUCUAUGCGACCCUCUGAAAGCUCUGAUCAAGAAUUGGAGGAACCAUUGUUCACAAUAGGUCGUUUUUCUCCUAAGAAGGAAGAGGAGAGUGUUGAAGACUUAAGGCUAAUUCGUAGGUCACAGAGAGCCACAAAAGGCAAACCUCCAAAGAGAUUUGCUGAUGAGUUUGCUACGAUAGCAGUAACAGCUGUUAAAAGCUCCAAGAAGGUAUUUGAACCUUCAAGUUUCCAAGAAAUCCAGGGUUUGGAUUCAAAGGAAGCUGAGCCAUGGUUAAAUGCCAUGAAGGCUGAGCUUGAUUCCUUAGAAAGGAACAAAACAUGGGAGCUAGUUCCAGUAGUUCCAGGAAUGAAACUGCUUGGAAGCAAAUGGGUCUUCAAAGCGAAGACAGAUCAAAAUGGCAAGAUAGUCAGACACAAAGCCAGAUUGGUAGCCAGAGGUUUUGCACAGGUACCAGGUGAAGACUAUCACGAGACCUAUUCACCCACAGUGAGAUAUGAAAGCAUUAGGCUUAUGCUCAAGCUAGCUGCAGAGGAAAAUCUACACAUUAGUCACCAUGAUAUUAAUACAGCUUUUCUGUACGGAUCUCUAGAUGAAUCACUUUAUAUGCUUCCACCUGAUGGCGUACAGGUAAAACAGGGAUUUGUUUGUGCUCUGAAGAAAUCCCUUUAUGGUCUCAAACAAAGUGCACGGUGUUGGCACACAAAACUCACUGAAGUAUUGUUUUCUCUAGGUUUUCAGCAAGGGAAAGCUGAUCCAUGUGUAUUUGUCAAAGAGGAGGGGCAAAAGAAACUGUACUGUUUGUUUUAUGUUGAUGAUUUAUUAUUCUUUUGGAAAGAUGUCGCAAUGUACAAUAACGCCCUAGCUCAACUGAAAGAGCACUUUGACAUGAAAGAUCUUGGUGAGGUAAACAACUACCUAUCUCUGGAAAUAGAGAGAGAUCAAGAUGGUAACAUUCUAGUACACCAGUCACGGAAAAUUGCUGAUGUGUUAAGCAAACUAAAUCUGAUGGAUGCUAACCCUGUAGACACACCGAUGACAACAGGUUAUCAGGUAGAUGACACUGAAGAAGCAUUUUCUGACACUACACUGUACAGGAGUGUGCUAGGCAAGCUAAACUUCAUUGCCAGAUGUUCAAGACCAGACAUUGCUGUUAGCUGUAAUUUGCUAAGCAGACAAGUCAACAAUCCUAGUGUCAAGGAUUGAAAGUUCUGAAACGCAUAGCGCGGUAUUUGAAAGGCACUAUGCAUUACAGACUGAGAUUUAACAAUCAAAAGUCUGGUGGUCUUGAGAUAUUUGCAGAUGCAAGUUUUGGAAGUGACGCUACAGACAGGAAAGGUACGUCUGGAGUUUGCUACAUGUACAAUCAGAGUCUGUUUGAUUGGUCAUGCAAGAAGCAAACAACAGUUAGCUUAAGUACUUGUGAAGCUGAACUGAAUGCACUGUCUUAUUCACUUAAGGAUUGUGAAUGGUUAGUACAAUUGUGCAAAGAUAUGAAAAUUCCUGUCAAAUGUCCAAUCCAGGUUUACCAGGACAACAAAGCAUGUUUGGCUUUGCUGAAGUCUGAAGGUUGUAAGCAAAGCACAAAGCACUUGCAAUUAAAGUUGCAGCAUGCUAGGGAAUGUAUUCAGAAGGGACUCGUAACGGUGUCCUAUAUGCCAGGUAAUGAAAUUCCUGCUGAUGUAUUGUCCAAGAUUGUAUCGAGGGAUCAACACUGUACCUAUGUGCAGAAGUUGGGUUUGUACUGAUACUGUACGAACAUGCUGCCCAGUGAUGUUCACAGAAAGGGGGAGGAUGUUGGUUUCUAUUUCCUCACUGAGCAGCAACUGCAGUCACAAGACAUUGUUUUGCAUUCCACAGUCAGAGUUACUGUUGGAGUUUCUCACGGGAAAGGGAGACUGGAUGUGACGUACACUGGUUUCCUGUUUUUCCACUGUGUGAUUCUCUCCGAGCUGAGAGAGGAGAGAGGAUGCAUUUUUCUGCUCCUGCAGAGGCAAGAUGUCUUUCUGUAAUAUACCAGCUUUGAACUGUAAAUAAAGCAAUAUAGAGUAUGUAACACAUUUUCCUCAUCCUUCCGCUGGGCACGACAGACUCUGCUUUAAA